rnacentral:rRNA from 1 species
UAAUUGAGGGCAAACCUGUCUCCUGCACCCAAUCAGUGAAAUUGAUCUUCUGGUACAAAAGCCAGAAUAAUUACAUAAGACGAGAAGACCCUGUGGAGCUUAAAAUUUACAACUACUUAAAAACUAGUAUCAAUUUUAAGUUGGGGCGACUUCGGAACAAAACAAAACUUCCGAGCUAGGAGUUAACUACUCCAAAUAAGGCCAACAAGCCAACUAAACCGACCCAGUCACACUGAUCAACGAACCAAGUUACCCCAGGGAUAACAGCGCAAUCCCCUCCAAGAGUCCAUAUCGACAAGGGGGUUUACGACCUCGAUGUUGGAUCAGGACACCCUAAUGGUGCAGCCGCUAUUAAAGGUUCGUUUGUUCAACGAUUAAUAGUCCUACGUGAUCUG